GAUGAACGCUGGCGGCGUGCUUAACACAUGCAAGUCGAACGGUGAAGCCCCGCUUGCGGGGUGGAUCAGUGGCGAACGGGUGAGUAACACGUGAGCAACCUGCCCCGGACUCUGGGAUAAGCGCUGGAAACGGCGUCUAAUACUGGAUACGAGCCGUGAAGGCAUCUUCAACGGUUGGUAAGAUUUUUCGGUCUGGGAUGGGCUCGCGGCCUAUCAGCUUGUUGGUGAGGUAAUGGCUCACCAAGGCGUCGACGGGUAGCCGGCCUGAGAGGGUGACCGGCCACACUGGGACUGAGACACGGCCCAGACUCCUACGGGAGGCAGCAGUGGGGAAUAUUGCACAAUGGGCGGAAGCCUGAUGCAGCAACGCCGCGUGAGGGAUGACGGCCUUCGGGUUGUAAACCUCUUUUAGCAAGGAAGAAGCGAAAGUGACGGUACUUGCAGAAAAAGCGCCGGCUAACUACGUGCCAGCAGCCGCCGUAACAC
rnacentral:rRNA from 1 species